GAUGAUCUAGGCGAUGAGGUUCGCCUUAUAACCGUGGCUCGAAUGCCUCUGAUGACCUCUACCUUUGC
rnacentral:ncRNA from 2 species